UACGUAGGGUGCAAGCGUUGCCCGGAUUUAUUGGGCGUAAAGGGCGCGCAGGCGGCUACGCACGUCCGUUGUGAAAUCGCUCGGCUCAACUGGGCGGGGUCGGCGGAUACGGCGUAGCUGGAGCAAGCUAGGGGGCAAUGGAAUUCCCGGUGUAGUGGUGGAAUGCGUAGAUAUCGGGAGGAACACCAGUGGCGAAGGCGACUACCUGGCCUGUUCUUGACGCUGAGGCGCGAAAGCUAGGGGAGCAAACGGG
rnacentral:rRNA from 1 species